rnacentral:rRNA from 1 species
GGUCGAGCAGGGACGAAAGUCGGGACUAGUGAUCCGGCGGUGGCUUGUGGAAGCGCCGUCGCUCAACGGAUAAAAGGUACCCCGGGGAUAACAGGCUGAUCUUCCCCAAGAGUCCAUAUCGACGGGAUGGUUUGGCACCUCGAUGUCGGCUCGUCGCAUCCUGGGGCUGGAGUCGGUCCCAAGGGUUGGGCUGUUCGCCCAUUAAAGCGGUACGCGAGCUGGGUUUAGAACGUCGUGAGACAGUUCGGUCCCUAUCCGCUGUGCGCGUAGGAGUCUUGAGAAGGGCUGUCCCUAGUACGAGAGGACCGGGACGGACGAACCUCUGGUGUGCCAGUUGUUCUGCCAAGGGCAUGGCUGGUUGGCUACGUUCGGGAGGGAUAACCGCUGAAAGCAUCUAAGCGGGAAGCCUGCUUCGAGAUGAGGACUCCCACCUCCUAGAGAGGGUAAGGCUCCCAGUAGACGACUGGGUUGAUAGGCCGGAUAUGGAAGCACGGUAACGUGUGGAGUUGACCGGUACUAAUAGGCCGAGGGCUUGUCCUCAGUUG